CAGGUGCUCCUCUGAUUUAAUUGUUUGGAAGUAGUCACUGGAAGCAAAGCUAUGUGACUCAGCUUUGGCGAAGCAGUCCAGCUGCGAUCUGACAGGAGAUCGCAAGAAUGCCAAGUCCCUAACGGUCCUGCGCUUAUUUCUUUCAAUGGCCAAUGAACUUUGGAGAAUGGACAAUGAAGGGAAGGCUUGCUGACUAGGCCACGAGAAGCAUGGCCUAUUAGAAGAUUAAAGACCUGUGGUCCAGUUAACACAUUACACCAGAGCCAAAGCCAGACGGCCAAGAGAUGUGUGAGCGGAACCAUCCUAGCCUAGCCAGCCCCAGCCAACCCGCCAGCUGGCCGCCAACGCCCGAGCAAGCCAGGCAAGACACAGCCAA